rnacentral:rRNA from 1 species
UACGAAGGGGGCUAGCGUUGCUCGGAAUCACUGGGCGUAAAGGGUGCGUAGGCGGGUCUUUAAGUCAGGGGUGAAAUCCUGGAGCUCAACUCCAGAACUGCCUUUGAUACUGAGGAUCUUGAGUCCGGGAGAGGUGAGUGGAACUGCGAGUGUAGAGGUGAAAUUCGUAGAUAUUCGCAAGAACACCAGUGGCGAAGGCGGA